rnacentral:lncRNA from 1 species
UUAAUUAUAGAUAAAAGUAUAUUAAUAUACUCUAGAAAUCAUAAGUAACACCUAAAUGAACACAUGCUCUAUAUAGAGGCUCUAUACAUGGUUGUCUUGAACUGUAAAUAAGAAAUGGUUAUAUAACUCCAUCAAUUUCUUGAAAGAAGCUAGAAAACAUAAAUUGAAGCAGAUAACUUGCUCUAGGAAGCCAAAUAUGUUCAAGUUAAGUGGUUUCUGAUUCUAAGUUUAUGUUUUCUCUUUUUUUUCUUUUUUCUUUUCGAGGUUUUGGCUUGUGAUCUUGACUGAUAAAAAAAACAAACUCAUCUUUAUUCUUCGUUUUUUCUAAAUAAAAUAUGUCAAGUUUUUUAGGUUUCUGAUUUCUAAUUCUGAGUUUAUG